CCUUCCACAGUCGCGUUGAUGCGAGCCAUUGAAAAGGAUGAAUUCUUCCAUGUUUGUGGUGGUUGUAGUUGUUCUUUUUACGUUAGGUUUUGGCAAAAUUGAUGUCAAAACAAGUAAAAGAAACGAUACAUAGGAAACGGUCUCGGACAAAAUGCGAAUCCUUACCAGUAAAAUCGUUGACCAAGAAGAAGAAGAUCGACUUGAGACACUGGAGAGGCGGUUGCAAGUACUGUAGAGUUCCUGUAAGGAUGCUCCAAGGACUAUUCAAAAUCGACAAAUGUCGGUAACGACUGUGGCGUUUACUGCAUGCAUUUCGGAACAGGAUCGCGUGAACAUUGGUCAACACCAAACAAUUGUUUUUGAUGUGACAUAGUCAAGACAAACGUCGGAAAUGCAUACAGAGGGACAUCUGGAAUUUUCAGGGCACCUUUCAGUGGCGUUUAUGGUUUUCACCUGUCGAUCAUGGUAACGGGUGGCAAUAUAAUAUAUUUUAAUAUUGUCAAAAACGGAGCAGCCGUCGGUGUGAUGUGUGUUGAAGGAAGAGGAUACAGCUUGACCACGGUAACGGAAUUCUGGACAGUGGAACUCGAUGUCAAUGACGAAGUCUGGAUUUGGGCGGAUACGACAUACAGCGCAGGACAACAAGGAGCUGUACAUGGAUGGUGCAACUCUGAGUUUUCAGGCUUUUUAAUUGGCUCUUGAACCUCGCGGGAGAUACUCUUAUAACGAAUGUCGAGUGUCACAAUAUACUAUUCUAAAGUGUUCGAAAUGUUUUGAACAUGUUCCAAAUAAAAUUUAACAAGAUUUA